UUAAUUUUAAGUCUGACCUGCCCAGUGAUUGUUUUAACGGCCGCAGUACACUGACUGUGCAAAGGUAGCAUAAUCAUUUGUCUUUUAAUUGGAGGCUGGUAUGAAUGGUUUGACAAGGGAUUAACUUUCUUAAUUUAAAUUUUAUGAAUUUAAUUUUUUAGUUAAAAAGCUUAAAUUUUUUUGCAGGACGAGAAGACCCUAUAGAAUUUUAUUUAUAUAUUUUAUUAUGUUAAAUUGGUUUAUAAUUUGUGAUUAAUAUUAUUUUAUAAAUUUUGUUGGGGCGAUAGUGGAAAUUUCUUAACAUUCAUUUAUUUUUUAUCAUUUAUUUAUGUAUUUUUU
rnacentral:rRNA from 1 species